rnacentral:lncRNA from 1 species
CUAAUGUUGAAAAUCAAAGAACACACAAAUAUCAAAGUUUGCUAGAAAGAUGUAGACCACAAUCCGGCCAAGAUUGAUUGGAAAAUGACCUGAAAAAUCCAGCAAAACAAAAAAGGAACAUAAGUUGUGAGGAUAUUAAAAGAAAGUAAGUAGUUAAAAGUAACAAUACAACAUAAAUAUCAAGAAUUUGAAUCUAAACGAGGUCUAGUGGAUUUAGGAGAGUGAAAAACAUCAUUUACGAUGUCCCCAAGCUACUCUCCACUAAAUGUACAUAAUUCCACAAGAAAUUUACAAGUAAAUCUCUCUCCCACUUCCACAAUAAAAAAAAUGAAAUAAAGAAGAACACACUAGUGACUUGAUUGUUGUUAUUGUCGCUAUGACAAAGUAGAAAAUGGGUCACCAAUGCGAGAAUAAAUGUGUUGACUGACUCUGUAGGCGAGGUAAUAACUUCUCAGCUAUUGUCACUAGUGUGUAUGCAAAGAAUGAGCAAAGUCAAAGAGAGCUCGUGGCAAACUUUACAGACUAUAUGUGCUUCUAUACAAGUACCAUGAAUUCUUAGUAGAGACUUUUAAAAUGUCAUGUAUGUCAAUGAAAGGAUUGGUCAACCUAUAACAGUUCUUGAGGUGCAGGGGUUCAAGGAAAUGCUAAAGCAGUUACAAUUCACUCUUCUGAAGGCACUUGGAUUUUUUUUACUUGGAGCAAUAAAUAACACUACUAAGAAUUCAUGGUCACCAAUGCGAGGAUAAAAAGGUUACGAAUAGUACUCCUGAUGUUCAAUCUUAUGGAUCUGUUUAUCUGGUAACUUAAGAUUGCAAAAGGGUAGGUUUAAUUUAGCAGAGAGUACAGUUAUGUGUCAUGAAUCUAUGUGUUCGGUGAAUGCAAACAAAUAUCAUAAGCAAAAAAGUAUUUCCAUUUGUUGCAAGGAACAAGUUCUUAUUUCAUCAUCACACGCUAGUCUAGUAAUAGGUUCUGAAUUCACCCAUGAUUUUAGAGUUUUGAAUUUGAAUAGCGUCAACAUCAACAUCUUGUUUGACGAAUUUCAGGAAAAUCAGACAUACUCAUAAUGCUUUUUUUUUUACUGCAGCUAUCUCAUAAUCAACAUGUUCACUGCAAACUACUCUUAAAUUUCAACCAAAUAUUGUCCAAAUGCCUGCAUGAUAUUUUAAGUAAGCUGUAAUAUAGAUUUACAGUGAAUUUUAGAAGCCAUACAACAAAUGAACACUCACAUUUAUAACAAAAAAAUUCCUAAUACUCUCCUGUAAGAGAAGAUAGAUUCCCCUCAAUUCUGAAACAGAGAAGCCCCUUGGCCCUAGCAAUUUGUUUUACACAUAUACAAUCUAGUAUUACAGACUUUGGAUCCAUAGGCGAGGUUGUAGUUGCGACCACGACUUCACAGGGUCGAGGUUUGGUGACUUGGUCACCUUCGCAUGUGCAACCACUUCUUUGUAGGAUCGAGCCUUGGUUCCGCAAGAGCAGCUGCACCAGCAGGUGUUGCACUAGCUCUUGUGAUUCAAAUUCCAAGUUUCAAUCGGACCUCCGAAAAUAAUUCGGGGUCCCACCAACGUAAACCAAAUAUGUUACCCAAUUAGAAAUAAAAUUCUGGAUUUAAUGUAACUUACAAAACUUUCAGGGGAGGUCGUCUCGACAAAAGUAGGUCUCACACCCAAGGCUCCAUUUUAACUAUAAGUAAGAAGAUAUCUUGAAAUGAAUUUGAAAGCCUUGAGACCCAAACAAAGGUAAUUCUAGAAAAAACUCAACAUUCCAGAACUAACAAAACCAUUAGAACUUCAUUUCAAGGCCAUUUACUAAAGUUACAUACAAGCAGAUUUAGCCGGCCAUGACCUCAUACUCUUAAGUCAUUUGUGUCUAUAUUUCACUUUAGUUAAUCUAAUCUAGUAAGAUCAAGAGCUCAACAUACUGAGUUGCCCAAACACGAGGAUGUACGAUGGUUUUCUUUAUGGUAGACCACUUAUUAACCAACAAGAACUCCAAUUAAGGAAAAUAUUAUAGUUCAGCUGAAAAAAUAAGACUUCAAGAGCUUCAGUAAACCAAAUCACCAACAAGCUUUUAUGUCUGGGAAAAGAUUACAAACUCUUGAAACUUUUUCGAAGGUUUCAAACAAAUUAACAUAUAUAUACAGAAAUCGAGUUCUAUUGAAAUAAUAACAACACACUUAGAACUACAAUUUUCUUUUAAAACAACAUUUUUUGUACAAUUUUCGACAUCAAUAUGAACAUGCAGUUACUUUACAAUAUCUACAGAUCUAAAAUUUCAAAACAAAAUCUUCAAUAAACCCAGAGAAAGAGAUAGCUCAAAAACAAUAGUGAAGAUUCAGAAUCGACAAAAUAUGAAAAAUAAAUAGAGAGUUAACAUGAGUGGCACCUUACAAGCCUUUGAACAACUUCAAAACUUCGAAAACAUCAAAAUCUUGUAGUGAUAAUCAAACUUCGAACCUUUCUUCUUAAAACCUUCCAGCAACUUCUGAUUUCUGUAGAUUUUCGAGAUCCUUUUGCCUUAAAACUUCAAAACACUUGAAUCUGCUACAGAUUUAUGAAUGGGUUAAAGAAAUAGAAGUAAGAUUAGGGGGAAAAAAUACCAUCUGAAAGAAAUUUGAGCACUUACCUAAAUAGAGUUCACAUUUUGUGAAAUGAGAAGCGAUUUAACAGAUUUGAAAGUGACAAUUUGAAGAAUCCCUAAGAAAAGUUGAGCUAAUGGAGAGAAAUGAAGCGAAAAUUUGAGAAGAAGAGUAUUUG